AUAUUAUCAAUAUCUGGGAUGUCCUUAAGGACUCCCACAUAAACACCUUCCUGUGUAUUCAUCCAUGUUGCUUUCCCAGACCAGUGGCCAUUGCUGCCAGUCCAAGCCCUAACAGGUCACUGGGCUGAGGUGUUUGGGAGAGGGCUCAUUGCUAAACUAUUAUAUGAAUUGGUUGUCUGAGAAGGCCAUGUGCCGUAAACUUUAAACAUGUUAAAACUUUCAACAACGGAUCUCUUGGCUCUCGCAUCGAUGAAGAACGCAGCGAAAUGCGAUAAGUAAUGUGAAUUGCAGAAUUCAGUGAAUCAUCGAAUCUUUGAACGCACAUUGCGCCCUUUGGUAUUCCUUAGGGCAUGCCUGUUCGAGCGUCACUAACAACUACCUCACGUGAAAAUGUGGUAUUGGCCGAAGUGGAUCGUACUUGCAGUGCAGGUCUCACUUGGCUGAAAUCAAUGGGCCGGAGAAGUGGACCACAGCGACAGACUCUCAGA
rnacentral:misc_RNA from 1 species